GUAUCUAAUAUCUAAAGGUUUAAUUAUAGAAAAAAAGAACGGUGAGAGUUAAAAUUGGUUAAAGGAAUCAAAUACAUACAAUAAAUGCAAAGUUCUUGGAUCAGGCUUAUAGCAGUGAUGGAAUAAACUGCUGGCUUGUUAAGUCUCUGGUUGCUUCAAAUCAUUGGAAGGUCCUCAGUCCUUUGGAUAGAAUGCUCCCAUUAGUGUAAGUUCAUAGUCCAGAGGCUUGAGCAGGAAAGAGGCAAAAUAGAGGUAUUUCCAGGGCCUUUUAUAGCUUCUGCUAUGUGGAGGGAAACUCACUGUUUCAAACAAACCCCUCCACACAGCUUGUGGAAAAAUACAGGUAACAAGAUGGAGCUUAGUGUCACAUGGUCUCGUCACAUGUCCUAACAUGCUCUGCUGAGUUAUAGCAGAGGCCAUUACCCAUACUCUAGCUAGAACACAGGAAAGUCCAUUAGGUGUAGAUAGGUGUCUUUCAUGGUUCAUUGUGAGUUAAAUGUUCCUUGAUGGGCCAUUCAACUUGAACAGUCCCUUUACAAUGUGCUGGCUAAAUACCUUGUGGGUGAUACCACAGGAGCAAAUACAUUUGAAAUACAGGUACAUAGUUAACAUUCAUAACUUCAGAUAUACAAAUGAUGCAUGCAUACAAAUAGGAUAAUCAUAUCCAGCAAAUCAUAACUCUUUCAUAGACACCUUACUUGACAUACUUUGUACAAGGUUUGUUGCGAUUAUAUAACAGUGGUAGCAACAAUGAUCUACAUAGUCAUAACUUAAUCAGAUAAUGUCACACUGGGUAUCAGUGGGAUCGGUGGAAAUGUGUAUGCAAGACCUUGAUUGCACAGUAUGAGAUAGGUGUCUUUCAAGGAUCCUUGGCUCAUGCCUCCAUUGAAGCAAAAGACACUGUGUUUGCUUUUGUGGCAAACAUGUCUAUAGUGGGGUUUCCCCAUCAGUGAAAUACUGCAUAUAUGCCAACCUUGCUCUGAGACUUUUUGGGACAUUAGGGAGGUUGCUUGGAUCUCUCUCUCCCUUUCCCUCUCUUCUCAGAAACUGAGACCUCUCUCUCUCUCCUCAUCCACUCCUCUCCCUGUGGAGAAACUGGGACCUCUCCCUUCUCCCCUCCCAUCAUCUCCUUGUCUGUGGCCAAGAGGGGACAGAGUUGAGCCCCUGGGUAGUGUUCCCUCUAAUUUUUUAAGUGCAUGUGCAGAAUGAAUUUUGUUAUGUGCACCAAUAUGGAGGUGAUGUGUGGUGGGGGUUUGGCCAAGGGGUUCGGAGGGUGGGAUGGGGCUCAGGGCUGGGGCAGAGGGUUGGGGUGCGGGCUCUGGGCUGGGGCUCUGGGGUGGGGCUGGGGAUGGGGAGUUCAGGGUGCAAGCUGCCCAGGGCCGGGGACAGAGGACUCUCCCAGCCUUCUCCCUGCUGGCAGCACGGAGCUCGGGGGGGCGCCCCUCCCCUCUCUCCCCGCUGGCAGCACAGAGCUCUGGGGGAGGUGCCCGAGGCAGCCCUGCAUGCUCCAACUUGCUCCUCUCUCCAGUCCCCGCCCAUGCCCUACCUCUCUCCUCUCGAGGUUCCUGUGGCUGCAUGGCCCUUUAUAGCCUGCUGCGUGGCCACACAGCUUAGAGGGAUAUUAGCCCCUGGGCCACACCCUCAUUGUAUCCUUGAGCCCCAACCCCCAAAGAGAAAGAAGGGGAGGACUGGCCCUAGGAAAGCUGCCCUCCUAUGAAGUUUAGGGCUUGGUCAGUCCCAGGCCUGGACAUCCUUCCCAAAAUGAUCCUCCUUCUCUUCUACUUCUUCUGUCGCAUUCCUUCUCCUCCUCCACUGCUGCCUUCAUUUGCCCCUCUGGCUUCUCCUUCCCCACAGACUGUGCAGUGAGGGUAUGACAGAAGGCAAGCCACAGCAACUGUCAGUGAGGUCAGGGGAGCUGGAUUCACUGCCCAAGCUGCAUGUUGAGCUCCAGCUAUCCUGUGUAGACUCUGCUGGUGUGCUCUACAUACUUAGCAUCAUAGUUCAGGGCAACCACAUCUGUAUUCCCCUUCUCUGGUCCCCUGAGGGCACCCAUUCUAGGCUCCUGGUUCCUCAGCCAUCAUUUCUCUUGGACAGACACCUGCACCUCUCUCCCUCCGGACCAGGGUUUUUCCAGGCUGCACAGUUUCCUGGAUACACUGUGAUAGCCUCAGCAAGCCAGAUUGACCAGCCCUGCCAGUCUGUGCUUUAUUUUCUAGGUUUAAGCCUGAAUUUAGGGUAAUUGCUAGCAGUUAUUAGUUACCACACAACUCUUUAUAAGCCAGCACAUUAUUCUUAAAGUGAAAGCAUUACAGAGAAAACAUAUUAAAGCAAUAAAAGAACCUACAAACAUGCUAAAAAGCUUACUAGAGAUCACCCCCAACUCCAACAAGAGCUCUUGUAGGAGUCUGUCCUUCAAACUCCAUAAAGGGGUUUCCCUGUGGUUACAAGUUCAUAACAGCCUUAGCUCAGAACAAGCAUCCCCAUGAAUAGCCUGGGCCUUUGAUCUUCAGAUUCCGGGAACAGAUAAUUAGUACACAGUGGUGCUCCCCUCUGGAAGUAGCUUCAAAAGGCUGCGAUUCUGCAUAACCAGAGGCAG